rnacentral:rRNA from 1 species
CAGUCGCCACGGUAAUACGUAGGGUGCAAGCGUUAAUCGGAAUUACUGGGCGUAAAGCGUGCGCAGGCGGUUUUGUAAGUCUGUCGUGAAAUCCCCGGGCUCAACCUGGGAACGGCGAUGGAGACUGCAAGGCUAGAAUCUGGCAGAGGGGGGUAGAAUUCCACGUGUAGCAGUGAAAUGCGUAGAUAUGUGGAGGAACACCGAUGGCGAAGGCAGCCCCCUGGGCUAAGAUUGACGCUCAUGCACGAAAGCGUGGGGAGCAAACAGGAUUAGAUACCCCUGAGUCCCUGUCUCUUAUACC